rnacentral:rRNA from 1 species
UACGUAGGGUGCAAGCGAUAAUCGGAAUUACUGGGCGUAAAGCGUGCGCAGGCGGUUUUGUAAGUCUGUCGUGAAAGCCCCGGGCUCAACCUGGGAAUUGCGAUGGAGACUGCAAGGCUAGAAUCUGGCAGAGGGGGGUAGAAUUCCACGUGUAGCAGUGAAAUGCGUAGAGAUGUGGAGGAACACCGAUGGCGAAGGCAGCCCCCUGGGUCAAGAUUGACGCUCAUGCACGAAAGCGUGGGGAGCAAACAGG